rnacentral:lncRNA from 1 species
UAUUCUCUUUUUCAUAAUAUUACAAGAAUCAUUAUUUAUAGUGUUCCAACCGACGGGACUGUUGGAUCAAAACCACGUGGCCUCAUCUCGUUUACCAAAACCUCACAUCACACUGCUAAACAUUAAAUACAUUGAUAAGGAGUUAGCCGCCAUAUGCUCUAAGCGAACAUUCUUGAUAUUAAUUAAUACAAACAUUACAUCAAUUAAUUUUAUAGAUACCGUGCAGAUCCAUUUUAAAGGCAAUAAGUGCUUCGAUUUUGAGAGAGAGCUUUGGAUGUGUUGCUACUUGAUCAAAACAGGGAGGGCUUAGGUUCAAGGGGCUUCCGACAAGGAUAGUACUUCGGCCAAAUAACAACUUGUUCCUUUAUUUUUGAUCUUUUUGACUGCCAGUUGUCCGUAUGUAGUGCCUCCACGUGGCAUUGAUGUGGCCUUCAGUAAGAGCCUCGAACAUGAGGCUAACAAUAAUCCCCCAAGUUGAUGUAUGAUCAUUUAUGUAAUACAUGGACUUUUAUGUUGUAUUAGAAUGAAAAAAUAAUAAUUGUAGGUAAGGUUACUUUUAAUACUUAUGAAAACAAAAUCGUCCAUGGUUAGAUCAAAUAUCAUGGAGGAAGCCCUUGCACGGAAAGAGCCAUCCUUGGCGAAGAAGUACAACGGCCUUGACAAAGACAAGUGUGAUGUCUUCCACAAGGAGCCACGCAUUGCUCCCUUAGAGAUUAACCCCUUCCAUGGUUGGACCAAACUCCAUGAAGGAAGCCUUAACAUGGAUGCGUCAUCCCCAUGUAAAGACGUCAUCUUAUCACAGCUACUUAUGUCCUGAGCAUAACCAGUGUUAUUUAAGUUCAGAGCAUCGCAUCUGCUACUUACAUCCAAAACUUCGCCUCUACUACUCACAUCUAGAGCAUCGCCUCAGCUACUUAUAUCUAGAAUCUCAUCUCUACACUGGCUUCAUCACAGCUAUUUUCUUCAGAUCAUCGCCCUUAUCUAAAAGGUCCACGCAUUAUAUGACUAUUCAUCCAUGAAUUUGGGGACUAUUUUGAUACUAGCAUCUUAAUAUCAUUACAUAUUACUGCUAGCACAUGUAUUGUAUUAUUGUUGUAAACUACAGAUGUCACACAUUGCUAGCAUGUCAUGAGAUAUGACACUAUUUUUAUCACAAUAAAUAUGUAUACCAUGUUAUCUUCAUUUUUAUUUUAUUAUCAACAUCAUAUUACUUGUUUCAGAAUAACAAUACUGUUAUACUAGCUAUGCAAACAUAUAAUUUAUUAUAAUGCUUGACACAAUCUCUACACAUUAUAUUUUGGAGAAAAUUGAUUUGUCAUUAUUCAAUUUAUCGUUAUGAGUACUUUGAGUGGCAAAUGGACCCCAAAUUGAUUUUGUAUAUGUGCAGUGGAUAUAUUGUAUUGUAUUACAAGUUGGUUUAAUUCAUAUUACAGAGAAAUGUUGUCGAAUUUUUGACAAAUUAUAUGCAACAUCUUUCGAGGCAAUUUGUAAGUCUUCAUUUAUUCAAACUCACACAGAUAUUUUCGAGGUAGUUCAUAAAUCUUAUUUAUUGGAUCAACUUAUACUCUCGAAUAAGUCCUUGCCUAUUUGGAAUAUAUGCAUAUUUUCGAGGCAGUUCAUAAGUCAUUGCAUAUUGAGCUACUCGUAUUUUCUAAGAAAAUUUGUAAGAAUUAGUCUAUUUGAAGCUUAUAUUUCGAAGUCCGACCAGCACGUGAAUAUACGACUCAAACUUGGGGACUAUUGUUACAUUUAUAAAUUACGUGGCAUACGCAUGAUUGAGAGGGUCUCGUAUAUAUUAAUGUGGCGUCAACUAUUUAAUUGAUUUGGCCUGUUUAAUUAAAUAACUUUGUGUCGGGCUUGAAACUCGGCCCAUUAGUCCACUUGACCCAUUAAUUUCUCUAUAUAUAUGUGAAUCAAUUUCACAUAAGGUAUAUUCAUUCUAACCUUAGCCAAAUUCCCUCUCUCUCUUGCACUCUCUUUCUCUUGUCCAACAGUUGGCUAGACAGUUGGAAUACAAACGAUUGCCAGACUUUUUUCUCGACAUGCAACCUUUGCCUUCUAACGGGAUGUUUAGUGUGCAGGUGAGGUUUACGCAGAGAAAAUGACGUUCAAAUUCUGUUGACACAUUUUUUGGGUCAACAGUUACAAUAUCUUUGUGUCAAUCACGACAAACCUAAAUACAUUUAAGAGGGUGUUUGAGUCCUAUUUUUAUUAAAAAAAAAUGUAUUUUAAAAUAGUAGAUUGAUGAAAAAUGUGUAGUUGAAAAUAAGAAAAAAAAUUUAUUUACGUAUAGUAUUAUUUUAAUGAAUAAUGUAUAGUUGCAAAGAAGGGAGAAAAAUAUAUUUUGAAAAAAAUGAUAAUUAAACUUGGCUUAAUCAUAAAAUGUUCACAUGCGAUUGCACAAAUUUUAGGAGUAUUUUACUACCUCCUCUACAAACCUAUGAUUUAUAAUUAUAAAAUUGGUAUUUUACCUAUCGGCUUCAAUGAAAAUUCGCAACAACUAAUAAAACUACCGAAUUUAUGAAAACAAUUAAAGAAACGAUAAAAGAUCAACACAAAAUCAUAAUUGAAAUCAAAAUUCGAAAACUAAAACUAAACAAUUAAAUUAGACCACACCAUUUGUUUUAACGAGUUUAAUCGAGCAUGCUCAUAGAAUACAAAUAUAUAAUAUUUAAAAAUGACAUCUCAGUAGUAAAAAUUAAGAUGAGAACGAAAUAAGAAUAAUAAUCCUCGAUGUUAACUACAUAAUUUUCUAACAUUCCCUCUUCUUCUUCAAACUCUCAAUAAAAGAAAUUUGUAUUUGGGACUUGUAUCUUGAUGUAUUUUCUAACAUUUCUCGAUGUUAAAGAUAUUGUGUGUUUUAAAGGUGUAGGUCUUCAAUUUUGUUUCAGUAUUAAUAUCGAGAAAACCCUUAAAAAAUCAUGCAAAUUCAGGUGAACCAUGAAAGAGGAUUAUUAUUCUAAUUUCAUUCUAACCACUAAAACAUUUAAUUAAAAAAAACUUUUAUAUCCACAUCAAUAUUAAUUUCCUUUAAUUUAUAGAGAUUAAGGGGGGUGUAUUCAAUUGAGAUUUUUAAAGACUUUUGGAGACUUUUUUAAGUGGGUGACUUUUGUGGACUUUGUGAAAUUUUAAGUAAUUUUUAUGGAUUUGGUAGGAAUUAGUAAAAGUUUUUCCUGGAUUUGUGAAGACUUUUACUAAAAACUUUUGAGGAUUUUUUUUUUAAAGGAAAUAUGCUUUUCACAGUGUUAAAUGUGAGAUAUCGAGGAAUAUUUAUGAGAAUUCACAACAUUCACUUAAAAACGAAUCUUUGAAAUUAGAGGGUGAGAUAGAGAUCAAUUAGUGAAAAUUUACCAUAACCUGAUUUGAAGAAAACUCAUAGCAAAGAUUCAAAGAAAUACCUAAUUGGAAGAGAUAGAGAAAAAACCUAGAGGGAAAUAAGAAUAGCAUACUCUUUUUAAAAAUCUCUCUAUGGAUGAGAGAUUUUGGGAGAAAAAUCCUAUUUAUAUUUUCUAUUAAAAAGUUUCUGAAAGUCCAAGAAAUUUAAAAUUCCCUGAAAGUCCCUUUAAAUUGAAUACCCAAAAACUUGUAGAGAUUUCUAAAAAGUUUCAAUUGAAUACCGCGUAAUUUCUAGAGAUUUUUUAAAAGUCUAUAAAAGUUUCUAUUGAAUACACCCAAACUUUUAGAGAGUCUCUAAAAGUUUCAAUUGAAUACGUCCAAAUUUUUUAAAUCUCUAAAAGUUUUUAAAAGUCUCGAUUAAAUACAAUCCCCUAAAAGUUCCAGGGGGAAUUUGAGAAGGUUAGAAGAGUAAUUUGCCAAGCAAUAGUACCUACUUAUCUGUUUCGCCGAGCAAAGAGCGAAUCCCGAAUCUCGGGGACCCGAACAACCGAUGACGGUGCCAACAGGAGCAGCAAUUACCUGGUGCGCGCUCACAGUAAUCCUUGUGGUCUCUCUUCUCAUCCGUCCGUCCGUCGCUAUCUACUGUGAUGAGGAUGACUGUUACGAUCUCUUAGGGUACCGUCCACAAUUUCUCCUUUCCCCACAAAUCAUUCAUUUCCUUGCUACAGUNNN